UUCUUAUGCACGAAGACCACGUCGUUUU
rnacentral:sRNA from 1 species